CGCCGCGCUACAUACAUCGCGCUGUUCGCUGGUCCGAGACAGGCCGCACAUGCCAAGUGGUCGUUGCACCGUGACCUGGUGAGUCGCUCGAUGGGUUUGCUCCUUCUAGCUGUGCCCCUGAAAGCCAGCCGGCAGCAGCUGGGCAGGAAACCACAUCAGAUCUGCCUUCGUCACGCACCAGCUCUGCAGCCUAGGGAGGCAUCCCUCUCCCACGUGACUUCUGCAGCAAAGCCAGAUCAAGCUUUAUGAAGCAGAGAUUAUACACUUCUUCAGCAAAUCUUCAACUCCAGGCUGUGGUGUAUGGGCAGAACAGGGAAUCUCCCUCAGUGUUACACCAGUAGCCUCCAAAGUUAUAUUAAGUCCAGCC
rnacentral:lncRNA from 1 species